CAGCACCUCAAGUGGUCAGGAUGAUUAUUGGGCCUAAAGCAUCCGUAGCCGGCGCUGUAAGUUUUCGGUUAAAUCUGUACGCUCAACGUACAGGCUGCCGGGAAUACUGCAGCGCUAGGGAGUGGGAGAGGUAGACGGUACUCGGUAGGAAGGGGUAAAAUCCUUUGAUCUAUUGAUGACCACCUGUGGCGAAGGCGGUCUACCAGAACACGUCCGACGGUGAGGGAUGAAAGCUGGCGGAGCAAACCGGAUUAGAUACCCGAGUAGUCC
rnacentral:rRNA from 1 species